UUUGGACAUAGGUUGAGUCAUAGCUUAGCUUGGACUCCCUAUCUCUUUGAGGUGGAGAUUCUUCAAAGACUAAUAUAACCAUAUUGGAUUUUAUUCUACUCAACUCCAACUCUUCCUCUCCCCCUUCCCAAGUCACAGUUCUGGGGGUUUCAAUCCCCCUCAGUAUUCUCAGCCCUUAGGGAAGAUCGUUUGGAGACAUGAGGGUUUGCUUCUGCAUCUGGUAGGACAUCAUGAUCUGAAUAAUAGGACAACAUUUUAUAAGCAUUGCUGUCAGCAGAGCUGGGAAUCAGAGUGAAGAUUUCAGAACGACUGAACUGCAAGGACAACAAAGAUGUUUCAACAAAAGACUGAUGAAAAAGAGGAGACUGAAGAGAAUCGAUCUUUGGACUCCCUGGGACUAGAAGAGGAGAACUCAGGACGCUCUAGGAAACUUGUUGCCCCCUCAAAGGACUCCGGGAAGAAGAUUAAAGAGAGCAAUGAUCGUCAACUCCAGGAAAGACUGUCACAGCUGUAUCAUGGAUUGCUGCAUCAAAGACUGAAAAGGCAUUGAAGAUCUGAGAUUCCAAUGAACUUAGAUGAUGAAGGAGAAAAAGCUUCUUGUAAGGCUGACAGAAAAAGAAGAAGAGAUGCUUUCCCAAUGAUUUUUCAGGAGGAUUGUCUAUUUUCUGUAGUUGGUGGUAAGAGAACCACACUUCUCUCUGUACACGGCUGCACCACUAUGGGAAGAGCUGCUGAGAAUAUAAAAACAAGACAGCCUCUGUAAUGAGAAAAAUUUCCUGUAGAAAAGUAAUUCAGGGACAAAAUUGUUGUACGGACUUUUUCAGCUCCAGAAUUGCUAGAGAUUCUGCCACAUCUUCUGUGCUGACUGCUAGCUCUGAGUAGAAGAAAGAUGUUGACUGGGACAGAAGGAUGAGUGGCAAUUGAUUUUUCAUCCCAGAAAGGUACCAGCUCUUGAGCAGUGUGAUCCUCUAUGGACUCUGACAUGGAAUCAGGCAAAGCAUUCUCUUUGGAAGACGCCUCACGGAUAACAGGAGAGAAGGUAGGCAAUAAUUCAGCAGAUUCCGUGGAACUAAGAUCUGAAUACUGCUCAGCCAUAAAAAGCAUGGCUGAUUCUUCUAAAUUGACAACAGGGAAGUUAUAAGGUGCAUCCAACAAAGGGAAAGAUGAAUCAUUCUCCAGGACCCCAAUCUCCUAGAGGUCACUCAGUGCUGCAAGAGAUUCUUCCUCAUCACUCUCUAGGAGAAGCCAAUUCAGGUCCAGCAGGUCUUCAUGGGGAUGGUCACCAUGUGCUGCAGUGCCAUCUGUAUCCUCAAUCUCUGGCCUUAUUUCGUGAAAACUGAGAGAUUCAUAACUUCCUUGUCUGUCCUGGGUCUAAUGAUGGUGUCUCUGUGAAGAAAAGGAGCUUACUGCUGAGUGUAUAAACUUCCUCAGUUUCUGAAGGCUAAAUUUCCACUGCUUCUAAAUAUAAGGUUGAAGAUUGGGUGCAUGAAAGACAGUGAGUCAUUCAAAGGAUGAGCAUCAUCUAGUUCUUCUUGGAUUCCUAGAAGUAUGUUAACAUGCCCCUCAGUAAGGAUGUGCAUUGACUGUGAAGAACAUAAAGCGAAUCAAUGAACUGUCACCCCCAUGUAGACAAGUGGAGCAAUAAUCCUGCCUUUGAUUGGAAGGUCUAUGUCACCUGGACAUUGUAACUUGAUGUCUGACAGAUAAAGGGUCAUUGGCUGAAGCCAGUUGAGGUCACUGCUAAUAUGCUAAUAGCAGCUUCCAGUACCAAUUCUACAAGAAGUUUCAAAGCUUCUGCUGUAACCGCCGGCCUUCUGGAUUAAGACUGUCUACUUCCCCUAGGAAUUCUGUGGUUCUGUCUUUUUCUAGGCUUUCAAUUUCUGGGGAGUAACGAGCUUUGUAAACACUUGCUAGUCUGUGACUUCGAUUAAAAUGACUGAAUUUGCAGAAA